AAAUGCAUUGACGGCUUCAAGUUACUGGCGUCAAUCACAACUUAACAGUGCGCAUAAAGUAAGCUGAAAAUGUUUGCUACUGCUUCACUGUCAAGUGCUAAUCACUAUAAACUUGCAUUUUUGCUUCAUGCGUAUCAUUCGUAUUAUUUUCUAAAUAAAAAACCCUGCUAUCAUCCUACAUUAGGGAUGAACAUGACGGCAAAAGCUUUUAAAAUGAGGGCAAGGAGUCACAUUCAGCUUACAGAGCUUAAAAACUAUUGUAUACGACGGUACCGUGUGGCGCUAAGUUCUUCAAAUCUAUUCCUCCGUGUGGCGCAAGUAGUCUACAUUCACAAUUCGCCCCAAACAACAUAUUGGUCUUGAACGAGUAAACAGUAAAAUGUACAAGAUACACCGUGCCGUGUGCAAAGUAUUUGACUUGCGUUUGUAACGUGUGCAAAAGUAGCAUCCAUCAGCCACGAGCAAAAGUCGUGGAAGGCAAUUACUUCGAGUUGAUUUGCGUUCAUCGUACAUUGGCAUAUGUGUUCUAUCGGACAAUAAACAAGUUUUUCUGCA